rnacentral:rRNA from 1 species
CCUACGGGAGGCAGCAGUGGGGAAUAUUGCACAAUGGGCGCAAGCCUGAUGCAGCCAUGCCGCGUGUAUGAAGAAGGCCUUCGGGUUGUAAAGUACUUUCAGCGGGGAGGAAGGUGUUGUGGUUAAUAACCGCAGCAAUUGACGUUACCCGCAGAAGAAGCACCGGCUAACUCCGUGCCAGCAGCCGCGGUAAUACGGAGGGUGCAAGCGUUAAUCGGAAUUACUGGGCGUAAAGCGCACGCAGGCGGUCUGUCAAGUCGGAUGUGAAAUCCCGGGGCUCAACCUGGGAACUGCAUUCGAAACUGGCAGGCUAGAGUCUUGUAGAGGGGGGUAGAAUUCCAGGUGUAGCGGUGAAAUGCGUAGAGAUCUGGAGGAAUACCGGUGGCGAGGGCGGCCCCCUGGACAAAGACUGACGCUCAGGUGCGAAAGCGUGGGGAGCAAACAGGAUUAGAUACCGCUGUAGUC